rfam:Oryza brachyantha chromosome 3, whole genome shotgun sequence.
UGUUGCCUAUGAUGACUUGCAAGAUUGUUGCAUACAUUGUCUGACAAGUAUCUGUGAUAUUAAUUGCAAGUACCUGAGGCUUGA